ACACCUCGCACAUCAUGAAUCGAACAACGUCGAAUAUAAAUUUCAAUCGGCCAUAAUCGGCUCGUCGUUUUCUGAAUGAAGUUCCAUCGACGUGACUGCGCAUCUCCCGACCUCGCCAGGAGCAAACUCGCGAGAGAGAAAAAGUUGGAGUAACAAAUAUGGAUGGGGUACCCGAGUGUGUAUAUCAAGAGUGGAAAAAAAAAUAUUUUGUACGGAUGACUCCUAUAAAAGAAAAAGAACAAGAAUAUGUAAAAUUACUGCCAAUUGUGUCAGUUUUGAGGCCCAUUUUGUCAGAUUUCAUCCGCAGACCCUCAUUUGUUUAUCUUGCCAAAAAAAAUUAAUCAUUGCAAAAUUGCAAACAGUACUAUAAAACUACUUUUAUAUCAUCUGACAUGAUA